rnacentral:rRNA from 1 species
CCCUUAGAUGUUCUGGGCUGCACGCGCGCUACACUGAAGCGUUCAACGAGUAUUCACCUUGCCCGGGAGGGUUGGGUAAUCUUUUUAAAACGCUUCGUGAUGGGGAUAGAUUAUUGCAAUUAUUAAUCUUCAACGAGGAAUUCCUAGUAAGCGCGAGUCAUCAGCUCGUGCUGAUUACGUCCCUGCCCUUUGUACACACCGCCCGUCACUCCUACCGAUUGAGUGAUCCGGUGAAUAAUUCGGACUGCAGCAGUGCUUGGUCCUCCGGGCUUUGCAGCGGAAAGUUUAGUGAACCUUAUCACUUAGAGGAAGGAGAAGUCGUAACA